AUGUGAUAUUAUGUUUCAGAAAGUGAAGUUGUUUUGUGCAAGUCAUGAAAUAGAAAUUCCUGAAAUGGGUGAUCAUUAUCGAGCUGGCAGAGGACGUUCACGAGAUCCUAUUACUAUUGAGCAUCACUUUCGUGUUGAUAUAUUUCUAGCUACCAUCGAUUCUCAGCUAAAUGAAUUAAAUCAUAGAUUUCCAGAAAAUACAGUAGAACUCCUUGUUUUGAGCUCAGCUUUGGAUCCAACAGAUUGUUAUAAAUCAUUUGACAUUGAAGCUAUCUGCAGCUACAACUGAACGUGCCUUUUCAGCCAUGAGCUUUGUCAAAACUAAAUUACGGAACAAAAUGGAGGAUGAUUUUCUGCACAAUUACUUGAUUACUUACAUCGAGAAAGAAGUUGCUGAAAAUUUUGAUAAUGAUUCUAUCAUUGACAUGUUUUACAAGAUGAAAAAUCGUCGAUCUCAGCUUGCAUAACAUGUUUUAGUAUAGUUUUCUAGGCUUUUGAAGUAUGUAAUGUAUUACAGGAACUUUUAUGUAUGGUUUUGCCCCUCCAAAAUUUAUUCUUGGUUC